AUGCCUUGCUAAUGAUGAGGCCUGUGCUGGUAGGGACAGUGAUGAUGAAUGCCAAGAGCUCUGAUGGUGCUGC
ensembl:snoRNA small nucleolar RNA SNORD74